GGACCUGACUGCUAUCGGAUUGAUANUAAGCCAUGCGAGUCUUUGUAGUAAUACAAGGCAGACGGCUCAGUAACGCGUAGUCAACCUACCCUAUGGACGGGAAUAAUCUCGGGAAACUGAGGGUAAUACCCGGCGUACCAUCAUACCUGGAAUGGUUGGUGGUUAAAAUGAUUCGUCGCCGUAGGAUGGGACUGCGGCCUAUCAGCUUGUUGGUGGGGUAAAGGCCCACCAAGGCGAUUACAGGUACGGGCUCUGAGGGGAGAAGCCUGGAGAUGGGUACUGAGACACGGACCCAGGCCCUAUGGGGCGCAGCAGGCGAGAAAACUUUGCAAUGUGCGAAAGCACGACAAGGUUAAUCCGAGUGAUUUCUGCUAAAGGAAUCUUUUGCCAGUUCUAAAAAUACUAGUGAAUAAGGGGUGGGCAAGUUCUGGUGU
rnacentral:rRNA from 1 species